GUCCUACGGGUGGCAGCAGUGGGGAAUUUUCCACAAUGGGCGAAAGCCUGAUGGAGCAACGCCGCGUGUGUGAUGAAGGUCUUCGGAUCGUAAAGCACUUUCGAUCGGGACGAAAAACCUCUGGCUAACAUCCAGGGGCCUGACGGUACCGGGAGAAGAAGCACCGGCUAACUCUGUGCCAGCAGCCGCGGUAAUACAGAGGGUGCAAGCGUUGUUCGGAAUUAUUGGGCGUAAAGCGCGUGUAGGCGGCUUAGCAAGUCGGGUGUGAAAGCCCACAGCUUAACUGUGGAAGUGCGCCCGAAACUGCUGAGCUUGAGUGUCGGAGAGGGUGGCGGAAUUCCGCAAGUAGAGGUGAAAUUCGUAGAUAUGCGGAGGAACACCGGUGGCGAAGGCGGCCACCUGGACGAUAACUGACGCUGAGACGCGAAAGCGUGGGGAGCAAACAGGAUUAGAUACCCCGUAGUCU
rnacentral:rRNA from 1 species